rnacentral:tRNA from 1 species
CGGGGCAUAGCUCAGCCUGGUUAGAGCGCCUGCUUUGGGAGCAGGAGGCCGGAGGUUCAAAUCCUCUUGCCCCGA